ACUCCUACGGGAGGCAGCAGUGGGAAUCUUGGACAAUGGGCGCAAGCCUGAUCCAGCCAUGCCGCGUGAGUGACGAAGGCCUUAGGGUUGUAAAGCUCUUUUAGCAGGGAAGAUAAUGACGGUACCUGCAGAAUAAGCCCCGCGUACAUUCGUGCCAGCAGCCGCGGUGAUACGAAGGGGCGUAGCGUUGUUCGGAAUUACUGGGCGUAAAGGGCGCGUAGGCGGACAUUUAAGUCAGGGGUGAAAUCCCGGGGCUCAA
rnacentral:rRNA from 1 species